GGGGAUGUAGCUCAGUGGUAGAGUGAUUGCCUAGCAUGCAUGAAACCCUGGGUUUAAUCCCCAGCACCACCC
rnacentral:tRNA from 1 species